ACAUACAAAGCCCCCCUUCAACUGACAUGACAAAGGCCUCCUUCUACUAGCUACCAGUCUCAUCAAAAUAAGUCUCAUCUCUAAUCUCUCUUCUCUGUGUGUUUUGGUGAGUCUAGCAAGCUACUAGUCAGUCACAGAGAAAAUACAGACUUACAACACCUAACGGAGAUGUCUGGUGGUCCCCUCUCCUGCUUCUCCAAACAGGGAAUACUCCUACUCUCUAUACUCCACUAUGGGACCUGGGCUGAUGUCCCUCCAAAGGACCAGUAUUGGUUGAAGGGAGGUUCGGUGUGUCUGGCUGUUGCAGAACCACCUGAGGAACUUAAAGGACUUAGAUGGAAGUUCAAUAGUGCUGUAAUAGUUGAUGAUAAAGAGAUCUCUCCUAAAUACAAGGAGAAGGUGGAUUAUAAUCCAGUGAACCACACUCUGUGCAUUAAGAAUUUGAUGCACACAGACAAUGGAAUUUACAUUGCAAAUGCAAAGAAAAUAGAUUGGUCAGAUUCAACGUCUUCAUACAGACUUAAGGUGUUGGUCAGCACAGAGCUUCGGGGCUUUGUGUGAACAAUUGUCACAAACAAAUCGGUUGCACUGGACAAAGUUUUCAUGGGCCUUGAUUCGUGUGCACUUGCCGCAGAUGUGGAAUAAUCUCUCUGAAGCAGCUGUGUGGCAUGGUCUCUCUGGAAAAAGCAAUGAGCAACAGUACAAACUCUGAUGUGC
rnacentral:lncRNA from 1 species